rnacentral:rRNA from 1 species
AGAGUUUGAUCCUGGCUCAGGAUGAACGCUAGCUACAGGCUUAACACAUGCAAGUCGAGGGGCAGCAUGGUCUUAGCUUGCUAAGGCCGAUGGCGACCGGCGCACGGGUGAGUAACGCGUAUCCAACCUGCCUUACACUCUUGGACAGCCUUCUGAAAGGAAGAUUAAUACAAGAUGUUAUCAUGAGUAAGCAUUUCACAUGAUUAAAGGUUUACCGGUGUAAGAUGGGGAUGCGUUCCAUUAGAUAGUAGGCGGGGUAACGGCCCACCUAGUCUUCGAUGGAUAGGGGUUCUGAGAGGAAGGUCCCUCACAUUGGAACUGAGACACGGUCCAAACUCCUACGGGAGGCAGCA